UCUCUUUCCAGAAUCCUGCCCCACUCAAGGUCCUGCCUGUCCCCAUUGCCUUGGUGUCCCCUCUGCAGCUCUGUGAAGACCCAGGAGAGGCAGCAGCCAUGAAGAUCCUGUUCCUGAUCUUCCCCCUGAUUUUCCUGUUGGUCCAGGGUGCUGCAGGGAAUGCAGCUCGAUGCAGGCGACGAGGGGGAUACUGCAGCUUUGAUGGCUGCAUCUCCCAGACAAAACCUAUUGGAAGAUGUUCAUCAGUCAGUCUGUGCUGCAAAAGUCGCUGGGUUUGAAACCCUGAAAUUCCCAAGCAGGACAUGGCCCUCGCUUCUGGCUGCUGGACCCAUCUGCUGAUGUCCCCAUCUGCUGAUGUCCCCUGCCCUCCCAGGCUGUCCCAUGCCCUGGGCUGACAGCAGCAGUGGCAGCUGCUCCUGCUGGGUGCUGCUGGGCUGGAGCCCUGUGGUGCCAGCCCCGGUGUCUUUGGGGCAGGGGCUGCUUUUCCUGGCUUGAAUAAAGAUGAGAACUUUGGCAUUGCAGGGCUGA